rnacentral:rRNA from 1 species
UACGUAGGGUGCGAGCGUUGUCCGGAAUUACUGGGCGUAAAGAGCUCGUAGGUGGUUUGUCGCGUUGUUCGUGAAAACUCACAGCUCAACUGUGGGCGUGCGGGCGAUACGGGCAGACUGGAGUACUGCAGGGGAGACUGGAAUUCCCAGUGUAGCGGUGAAAUGCGCAGAUAUUGGGAAGAACACCAGUGGCGAAGGCGGUUCUCUGGGCAUGACCUGACGCUGAGGAGCGAAAGUGUGGGGAGCGAACAGG